rnacentral:rRNA from 1 species
AUACGGAAGGUCCGGGCGUUAUCCGGAUUUAUUGGGUUUAAAGGGAGCGUAGGCCGGAGAUUAAGCGUGUUGUGAAAUGUAGAUGCUCAACAUCUGAACUGCAGCGCGAACUGGUUUCCUUGAGUACGCACAAAGUGGGCGGAAUUCGUGGUGUAGCGGUGAAAUGCUUAGAUAUCACGAAGAACUCCGAUUGCGAAGGCAGCUCACUGGAGCGCAACUGACGCUGAAGCUCGAAAGUGCGGGUAUCGAACAGGAUUAGAUACCCUGGUAGUCCGCACGGUAAACGAUGGAUGCCCGCUGUUGGUCUGAAUAGGUCAGCGGCCAAGCGAAAGCAUUAAGCAUCCCACCUGGGGAGUACGCCGGCAACGGUGAAACUCAAAGGAAUUGACGGGGGCCCGCACAAGCGGAGGAACAUGUGGUUUAAUUCGAUGAUACGCGAGGAACCUUACCCGGGCUUGAAUUGCAGAGGAAGGAUUUGGAGACAAUGACGCCCUUCGGGGCCUCUGUGAAGGUGCUGCAUGGUUGUCGUCAGCUCGUGCCGUGAGGUGUCGGCUUAAGUGCCAUAACGAGCGCAACCCCUCUCCUUAGUUGCCAUCAGGUCAAGCUGGGCACUCUGGGGACACUGCCACCGUAAGGUGUGAGGAAGGUGGGGAUGACGUCAAAUCAGCACGGCCCUUACGUCCGGGGCUACACACGUGUUACAAUGGCAGGUACAGAGAGAUGGUGUUCUGCAAAGCGCAUCAAAUCCUUAAAGCCUGUCUCAGUUCGGACUGGGGUCUGCAACCCGACCCCACGAAGCUGGAUUCGCUAGUAAUCGCGCAUCAGCCAUGGCGCGGUGAAUACGUUCCCGGGCC